rnacentral:snoRNA from 1 species
GGGAAACAUCAAGAGCAUUGAUUGUUUCCUGAUGAAUCUUCCAACAAAAAGCUGCUGCAAUUUCCUGCUUGUAGUUCUUGAGCAAGAUCUCUACAAGUCUCAUUUUGCAAGAUACAUGC